GUUGGAAAUCGCAAAUUCAACAAUAAGUGGUUUGGAAAGGAAUCAGUGGCUAUCUGUGAGUUCAAGACAACUGGGAACUUGGGAAAAGUGAGCUACGACUGGGAAAAUACGUUUUGAAUGGUCAUUCAACUUGGAAUUGUAAAUACGGCAUGUUUCUCUUUGAUGACAAAAUUUGCCCACGAAGGACCGCCGCGCCACAUUCCUGUCCAAGCACAUCACAACAACUUUAUAACACAGUGUAAACACAGCCAUAUUGACUUCAGAGGUUGGAGGGGUGGAGGAGGAGGUAGAAGCAGCAGGUUUGGACGGUUGGAGGAGGAGGUAGAAGCAGCAGGUUUGGACGGUUGGAGGAGGAGGUAGAAGCAGCAGGGUUGGAGGGUUUUGAGGAGGAGGUAGAAGCAGUAGGUUUGGACAGUUGGAGGAGGAGGUAGAAGCAGUAGGUUUGGACGGUUGGAGGAGGAGGUAGAAGCAGUAGGUUUGGACGGUUGGAGGAGGAGGUAGAAGCAGUAG
ensembl:lncRNA